AGCUGUCUGGGAGCCCAGGAAGUCACACCCGUCUCGCGCACUGAGCUGAAGCUCCAACCCACGUGGCGAAUAGCGAACCCCCGGUGCUGAAGGGAGUGCCUAGCAGGGCCCCUCCUCCAAAUCAGGCUCCUGCUGGUACCUCAAUGCUGGAAGAGCCACAAAACACCUGGAGGAAACCCUGUGCUGGCUCACGUCGCCCUGCUAUGUGGGGUAGUCUCCCCUUCAUCUCUUCACAGUGCCAAUCUAACAGAUGCUUUUUCUGCUCCUCAAAGUCUCCAAUAUGAAUGGCUCCAGCUUCAGAAGAUUUGGGGGCUCAUGUGGUCUAUUGCUUUCAUCAUUACAGUAUUUAUAUAAUAUUUUACCUCGCAUCCUGAGGGGCUACAUAUUUCAGAGUAUAUGAAAGAAGACUCAUAUGAUUGAACUUAAGAGAAUAUCUGGAAUAUGUCUAAUUUUCUACUAAAACCCCUAUAAUAUAAAAUUGGUUUCAAAUUUGGAGUAACGUGCUAGUCUUUCACGUGGCCAGCCAAUGAGAGUAAUGAUUUUGAUUACUGUGUGCUGCAGAAAGUCCCUCUUUUCUAACGAGAUUCUCAGCCGAUUUUCUAGAAGAUCCCACAUAUUUUUAUAUUAUUUAAAAGCAAUGUGAAAGCCACAUGGUUUAAAUGUUAAUCAGUGACUCAUGGAGACAAACUGCUGCUUAAA
ensembl:processed_transcript Gm4117 predicted gene 4117